rnacentral:miRNA from 1 species
AGGCAUUUGCUAGGAUACACCCAC